CUAAAAGGAGAACCAACCCUCCCCCCAUGGCUGACGUCGCCCCUCCACGCUACCGCCGACAGAGUUAGUAACCGGCUGACUGGCAAUCAUGCUCGUCUCUCUCAUUCGUCUCGAAACAGUCGACUCCCUCAUCGACUGCGAAAUGGCAAAAUCUAGAAAGUACCACUACCCUAUCUCUCUUAUUCCGUCUCUUCUUUCUUUCUUUAUCACUUUUCUUCCAUCUCUAACUCGUUGUUGAUCUUGCAAGACUAAAACAUGCCGGGAUUUUCUAGAUUUGGCCGGAAAAACUUAUUCCGUUAGACCCCCUUGGUUCCAUAUAUCUUAUUUCUCAUUCUUAUGUACUGUUAUAGGCAAAAGAUUAUCUAAAAAUGAUUUGUUUGUUGAUAAAAUCAUAUCUGGCCAGAAAAUAUAAUUUUUCGGCUACCUUCGUUCCACCACAGAACUCGCCGGUGACCUCAAACCCUUGUUUAGCUGUGUUAAUUUUGUUUUAAAGGUGAAAGAGGUCUAUCGUUUCAACCUAGCCAUGGUAUGUUUCUUUGAGAUCCCCAUCAAACUAUAAUAUUACUACUUCGAUUUGGGAUACAUACUUGUUGCUUGGUUGAAUCUUUUGAGUUGAGCUAUUGAUUUUGCUCCUUUGAGUUUGCUGCUCAUUCUAAUACCAUUCUAUGUGUUACUUUUUUGAUGCCAUUGUUCUUUGCCUGAUGGCUUCUUUGGUAAGCUGAUUAAUAACGUUCGACCCCUUUGACUGUAUCGUUAAUUGAAACCAUUCUCAGUGUUGAGAAGGACGACUGAAAUGUUUAAUGUCGUUGCUUUAUUUCAUUCGUAAUUUUUUGCGAAGGUUUUUUUAAUCGGACAGUUACUGACCCCAACUAGGUGUUACUAGGCCGAUGAAAAAAUAGCCACUAUGUUAUUGAUGUCACGACGCUGCGAAUGACCCUCCGAAUCGGGCCCAAAAUAACGAGGCGAUAAUGAUGAACAUCAAAAAAUAAAAGACAAAAACGAGACAAGCCAAUAACGUUUGGAUGGCGACAUGGUCGGCCACCUUAGUCGCACCAAGGCGGUUCCUGUUCUCAUAUCUAGAUGAAUAUCAAAAUACGCAUCUGAGCCUCCUAUAUUAUUUUUAAAACUAUUUUAAAAAACCUUUUCCAAAGAACAUAAUCAAACCAUUUCCAAAAAUAUUUUCUAAAAAUAUUUUAAAACCAAAACCAUUUCAAAAACAUGUCAUUUAAUUUAUUUUUACCUUAUGUUAUUUUACUAACAAUUGUAUUCCUCUUAUCUUGCGAGGUACUAUCACAUGGAGUUACUUUCGGAAGAUGACACCCAAAGACGUAAAAACAAAUCCCUGUCAAGAUUCCCGCUUCGC
rnacentral:lncRNA from 1 species